AACAAACCCUUUUGUUAUUUGUAGCCCAAACUAUGGGAUUUUGAUCCUUCAUUGGUACGUAAGUACAAGACUUUAUGUCUUUUCAAAUAAAAAAAGCAAUAAAACACGCUUCUCUUCUCAUCCCCCCAAUAUUUAGUAAGCAACAAUAACCAAACACAAAUAUCUCAAGAGGUUCCUAUAGGAUACUAUAGAUGAUUAGGAUGUUAGUACCUUCCCUUUUC
rnacentral:lncRNA from 1 species